rnacentral:rRNA from 1 species
UAGGGAAUCUUCCACAAUGGACGCAAGUCUGAUGGAGCAACGCCGCGUGAGUGAAGAAGGUCUUCGGAUCGUAAAACUCUGUUGUUAGAGAAGAACACGAGUGAGAUAACUGUUCAUUCGAUGACGGUAUCUAACCAGCAAGUCACGGCUAACUACGUGCCA